GAUCCUGGCUCAGGAUGAACGCUAGCUACAGGCUUAACACAUGCAAGUCGAGGGGAAACGACAUCGAAAGCUUGCUUUUUGAUGGGCGUCGACCGGCGCACGGGUGAGUAACGCGUAUCCAACCUGCCCACCACUUGGGGAUAACCUUGCGAAAGUAAGACUAAUACCCAAUGAUAUCUCUAGAAGACAUCUGAAAGAGAUUAAAGAUUUAUCGGUGAUGGAUGGGGAUGCGUCUGAUUAG
rnacentral:rRNA from 1 species